rnacentral:rRNA from 1 species
UACGUAGGGGGCAAGCGUUGUCCGGAAUCAUUGGGCGUAAAGCGCGCGUAGGCGGCCCUGUAAGUCUGCUGUGAAAGUCAAAGGCUCAACCUUUGAAAGCCGGUGGAUACUGCAGGGCUAGAGUCCGGAAGAGGCGAGUGGAAUUCCUGGUGUAGCGGUGGAAUGCGCAGAUAUCGGGAAGAACACCCGUGGCGAAGGCGGUUCUCUGGGACGGUACUGACGCUGAGACGCGAAAGCGUGGGGAGCGAACAGG